GUCGAUGAAUUGGUCGUAGUGAGGACACACGCUACUGAUGGCGACGGGUGCCUGCAACAUGCCCAUCCUCACUUCAAUCUGGACACGACUGCCAGUGUGGUCAAAGAAAGUCAAGUGCCUUGUGAGAUGCAGGACACCACUGCCAGUGAGUUCAAAGAAG